GAUGCCAGCUAGCGAUCCGCCAAAGUUCCUCCGAUGACUUGGUGGGCAGCUUCCGGGAAACCAAAGCAUUUGGGUUCCGGGGGAAGUAUGGUUGCAAAGCUGAAACUUAAAGGAAUUGACGGAAGGGCACCACCAGGAGUGGAGCCUGCGGUUAAAUUUGACUCAACACGGGAAACCUCACCAGGCCCGGACACCGGAAGAAUUGACAGAUUGAGAGCUCUUUCUUGAUUCGGUGGGUGGUGGUGCAUGGCCGUUCUUAGUUGGUGGAGCGAUUUGUCUGGUUAAUUCCGAUAACGAACGAGACUCUAGCCUACUAAAUAGACGUACUUUAUUACCGGCAUCUCAAGGCCCAU
rnacentral:rRNA from 1 species